UAGGGAAUCUUCGGCAAUGGACGGAAGUCUGACCGAGCAACGCCGCGUGAGUGAAGAAGGUUUUCGGAUCGUAAAGCUCUGUUGUUAGAGAAGAACGUUGGUAGGAGUGGAAAAUCUACCAAGUGACGGUAACUAACCAGAAAGGGACGGCUAACUACGUGCCAGCAGCCGCGGUAAUACGUAGGUCCCGAGCGUUGUCCGGACUUAUUGGGCGUAAAGCGAGCGCAGGCGGUUCUUUAAGUCUGAAGUUAAAGGCAGUGGCUUAACCAUUGUACGCUUUGGAAACUGGAGGACUUGAGUGCAGAAGGGGGGAGUGGAAUUCCAUGUGUAGCGGUGAAAUGCGUAGAUAUAUGGAGGAACACCGGUGGCGAAAGCGGCUCUCUGGUCUGUAACUGACGCUGAGGCUCGAAAGCGUGGGGAGCAAACAGG
rnacentral:rRNA from 1 species